rnacentral:rRNA from 1 species
AGCUCCAAUAGCGUAUAUUAAAGUUGUUGCAGUUAAAAAGCUCGUAGUUGAAUUUGUGGUGGUUGUUUGCCCCCCUUCACUCUGUGUUGGGUAGAGUAAGCAACCCCAUGCUUGGAGUGGAAGCUGUGUGGCAUUAAGUUGUCGUGCAGUGAAAGCCCAUCGUUUACUGUGAAAAAAUUAGAGUGUUCAAAGCAGGCAGUGGCUCAUGAAUAUAUUAGCAUGGAAUAAUGAGAUAGGACUUCGGUACUAUUUUGUUGGUUUGCGCACCGAGGUAAUGAUUAACAGGGACAGUUGGGGGUAUUCGUAUUCCAUUGUCAGAGGUGAAAUUCUUGGAUUUUUGGAAGACGAACGACUGCGAAAGCAUUUACCAAGGAUGUUUUCAUUAAUCAAGAACGAAAGU